rnacentral:rRNA from 1 species
AACGCGAAGAACCUUACCAGGCCUUGACAUCCCGAUCGCGGCCCCUUGAAAGAGGGGCCUUCAGUUAGGCUGGAUCGGUGACAGGUGCUGCAUGGCUGUCGUCAGCUCGUGUCGUGAGAUGUUGGGUUAAGUCCCGCAACGAGCGCAACCCUCGCCCUUAGUUGCCAUCAUUAAGUUGGGCACUCUAAGGGGACUGCCGGUGAUAAGCCGCGAGGAAGGUGGGGAUGACGUCAAGUCCUCAUGGCCCUUACGGCCUGGGCCACACACGUGCUACAAUGGCGGUGACAAUGGGCAGCAAAGGCGCAAGCCCCAGCUAAUCUCAAAAAGCCGUCUCAGUUCGGAUUGGAGUCUGCAACUCGACUCCAUGAAGUCGGAAUCGCUAGUAAUCGUGGAUCAGCACGCCACGGUGAAUACGUUCCCGGGCCUUGUA